AGUGAACGCUGGCGGUAGGCCUAACACAUGCAAGUCGAACGGCAGCACAGUAAGAGCUUGCUCUUACGGGUGGCGAGUGGCGGACGGGUGAGGAAUACAUCGGAAUCUACUUUUUCGUGGGGGAUAACGUAGGGAAACUUACGCUAAUACCGCAUACGACCUACGGGUGAAAGCAGGGGAUCUUCGGACCUUGCGCGAUUGAAUGAGCCGAUGUCGGAUUAGCUAGUUGGCGGGGUAAAGGCCCACCAAGGCGACGAUCCGUAGCUGGUCUGAGAGGAUGGUCAGCCACACGGGAACUGAGACACGGUCCAGCCUCCUACGGGAGGCAGCAGUGGGGAAUAUUGGACAAUGGGCGCAAGCCUGAUCCAGCCAUACCGCGUGGGUGAAGAAGGCCUUCGGGUUGUAAAGCCCUUUUGUUGGGAAAGAAAAGCAGCAGGUUAAGACCCCGCUGUUCUGACGGUACCCAAAGAAUAAGCACCGGCUAACUUCGU
rnacentral:rRNA from 1 species